AUGGUGUUAAACAGUUAUCCUUUGAUUCAGAGAGUGUACAUGUUCAUUUAUCUUUGUAUUCUUGUGUGUUACUGUGAUACCUUUUUGGGUUUAAAAACUUAUAUAUUUCUCUUGCCUUGUUAUAUGAAUUUCUACUCUCCUCCCCCAAAGCCCUUUCUUCCCCUCCCUCUAAACUCGCCAGUAGAGUCUUGA